rnacentral:RNase_P_RNA from 13 species
GUAUUGGUUUGAAACCAAUGUAAUAUUCAACAAAUGGCAAUCAUUAAAAAAAGGAAUCUCUCACAAAUUUUUAAAAUCAUAAAGAGAGAAUAAUAUGGGAAGGUCUGAGUACGCGAAAAUCUCUAGGGGGGAAAUUACAAACAAUGUAAUGGUCAGGUAACAGAAAUAGUCUAAGCUCAUACUAAAAAACGACAAAGAAACCAAUUCAUCAACUUGCCGAAAGGUCGGAAAAUGUAAAGGUCGAGUCAGUAUGACAAAGGUUGGGAAAACUUGGCUGCGUAUAAAAUCAAUGAAGUUAGAUACAUCGGAUAGUUGAAAUUUAAAAAAAAUCAACUACAACUCAAUUCAGAUUAAUCUCUAACUGAUAC